rnacentral:tRNA from 1 species
GUCUCAUUAGCUCAGUUGGUCAGAGCGCGCGGCUGUUAACCGCGAGGUCGAAGGUUCGAGCCCUUCAUGUGACG